UGGGGAAUAUUGCACAAUGGGGGAAACCCUGAUGCAGCCAUGCCGCGUGUGUGAAGAAGGCCUUCGGGUUGUAAAGCACUUUCAGCGAGGAGGAAAGGUUGGCAGCUAAUAUCUGUCAGCUGUGACGUUACUCGCAGAAGAAGCACCGGCUAACUCCGUGCCAGCAGCCGCGGUAAUACGGAGGGUGCANGCGUUAAUCGGAAUUACUGGGCGUAAAGCGCACGCAGGCGGUUGGAUAAGUUAGAUGUGAAAGCCCCGGGCUCAACCUGGGAAUUGCAUUUAAAACUGUUCAGCUAGAGUCUUGUAGAGGGGGGUAGAAUUCCAGGUGUAGCGGUGAAAUGCGUAGAGAUCUGGAGGAAUACCGGUGGCGAAGGCGGCCCCCUGGACAAAGACUGACGCUCAGGUGCGAAAGCGUGGGGAGCAAACAGGAUUAGAUACCCUGGUAGUCCACGCCGUAAACGAUGUCGAUUUGGAGGCUGUGUCCUUGAGACGUGGCUUCCGGAGCUAACGCGU
rnacentral:rRNA from 1 species